GAAGCCUUAAAAAUAGACAAAAGACGAGAUGCUAGCCAGUUUUUUCCAUACAUGCUAGGCUAACAUGACGGCGGGGCACUGUCUCCAUGGUUACUAAUUGUUAGACAGGUACCUUUCUCCAUAAUGCGAUAUUGGAUAUCGUCUUUCUAAUCAUAUUUAGUAAACAUACAUAGUUACAUGACAAACUUCUUACUUAUAAAGUAUAUGAACCUUAAUCUCAUCACCUUGUAAAAACUGUUCGCUGCAAAUCCGCGAUUACACGUGUAGCAGCAUAAAUGGUACGCUGCCACUUUAAGACCAAUUUCAGCUGCUGCAUAUAAGCAGGUCUCUACCUGCCACAAGACUACUUGCGUCAUGACGUCAACUCAUUCUGCUUCCUUUGUUUGCUGAGCUGUGCUGGGUAAGCGUGGCUGUUUCUUUGUUUGUCAGCUUUUAUCAUAGCAAUUAAUGCAAGCUGGUCUGAUUUGUUUAGCCUCCCUUGCUGUGCCUCCAACACCUGGACCAAUCUGUUCGGCUGGUUGUUUGUUGCCGGGAAUGUAAGCGCUAGCAUGGCUAGGUAACAUCCAUCUCAUGUAAACGAAGCCUUUAUGUAGUGUUUUGUUACAGCUGCGCUCCGUAGGUGAACUUGUGGAUCUGUUUAUCUGGCCGUGUGGUAAUUUACAGCCUCCUGCCGAGUCCCUGACGACUAUUAUAUUUGGAUGUACACUCGCUGCUGUUUUGCCUACGAUAAAAUGUUUUAAAAGAUUUGUAUGAACUUUCCCCCGCUGCCGGGAGUAUUGAUGGCACUACGAACGGGAUAAAAAGCAAUAUUGUAGUGCUAUUAUAUCACUGUUUUACUCAUAUUGUUUCAUUUUUUGUCUUUCUUUUAGGGACUGAGGCUUCUGUGGUGGCGGUGGUGACCCCUGGUGGCGGUGUCUUGUCUCGUGUGUUUUGUGGAACACCCCUUUUUGUGUGUGUGUGUUUGCCGUGUCUUUGUAGUGUCCAGGGUGAUCCCUUUUCUUCACUGGAUGUUGCCCCUUUCCUCACUACUCUCCCCCCACUGGUAAGCCUCAGUUUCCUUUGAAAUUUAAACAUUUUAU